UGAGGGCUCCAACAGUGACAUGU
rnacentral:piRNA from 1 species